rnacentral:rRNA from 1 species
AACGAACGCUGGCGGCAGGCCUAACACAUGCAAGUCGAACGCUGUAGCAAUACAGAGUGGCAGACGGGUGAGUAACACGUGGGAAUCUUCCUAUCGGUACGGAAUAGCUCAGGGAAACUUGGGGUAAUACCGCAUACGCCCUUCGGGGGAAAGAUUUAUCGCCGAUAGAUGAGCCCGCGUCUGAUUAGCUAGUUGGUGAGGUAAUGGCUCACCAAGGCGACGAUCAGUAGCGGGUCUGAGAGGAUGAUCCGCCACACUGGGACUGAGACACGGCCCAGACUCCUACGGGAGGCAGCAGUCGGGAAUUUUGCGCAAUGGACGAAAGUCUGACGCAGCAACGCCGCGUGAGGGAUGACGGCCUUCGGGUUGUAAACCUCUUUUGUCAGGGACGAUGAUGACGGUACCUGACGAAUAAGCCACGGCUAACUACGUGCCAGCCGCCGCGGUAAUAC